rnacentral:misc_RNA from 1 species
AACGCACGAGACCUGCGGACCUGCGGAAGGAUCAUUACCGAGUUUACAACUCCCAAACCCCUGUGAACAUACCACUUGUUGCCUCGGCGGAUCAGCCCGCUCCCGGUAAAACGGGACGGCCCGCCAGAGGACCCCUAAACUCUGUUUCUAUAUGUAACUUCUGAGUAAAACCAUAAAUAAAUCAAAACUUUUAACAACGGAUCUCU